AGCGAACGCUGGCGGCAGGCCUAACACAUGCAAGUCGAACGAUUAAGACUUCCUUCGGGAGGUGCAUAAAGUGGCGCACGGGUGAGUAACACGUAAGUAAUCUACCCUCGAGUGGGGAAUAACGUUCGGAAACGAACGCUAAUACCGCAUAACGCAGCGGCACCGCAAGGUGACAGUUGUUAAAGGAGCAAUCCGCUUGAGGAGGAGCUUGCGGCAGAUUAGCUAGUUGGUAAGGUAAUGGCUUACCAAGGCUACGAUCUGUAUCCGGUCUAAGAGGACGGUCGGACACACUGACACUGAAUAACGGGUCAGACUCCUACGGGAGGCAGCAGUCGGGAAUUUUGGGCAAUGGGCGAAAGCCUGACCCAGCAACGCCGCGUGAAGGAUGAAGUAUUUCGGUAUGUAAACUUCGAAAGAAUGGGAAGAAUAAAUGACGGUACCAUUUAUAAGCUCCGGCUAACUACGUGCCAGCCGCCGCGGUAACAC
rnacentral:rRNA from 1 species